rnacentral:rRNA from 1 species
AUUGAACGCUGGCGGCAGGCCUAACACAUGCAAGUCGAGCGGAGCGGCGGUCGGGUGCGUAAUGCCUAGGAAUCUGCCUGGUAGCGGGGGAUAACGUCCGGCAACUGGCGCUAAUUCCGCAUACUAUCAGAUGAGCCUAGGUCGGAUAGGCACGUAGGUGGGGUAAUGGCUCACCUAGGCGACGAUCCCUAGCUGGGCUGAGAGGAUGACCAGCAACACGGGAACUGGGAAACGCUCAAGACUCCUACGGGAGGCAGCAGGGGGAAUUAUGGAACAAGGGGCGCAGGCCGGAUGAGCAAAGCCCGCGUGGGUGAAGAAGGCCUUCGGGUGGUAAAGCACGUUAAGCGAGGAGGCGGUACUCGAAGAGGAAGCACCGGCUAACUCCGUGCCAGCAGCCGCGGUAAUUC